AUCUAGCUGACGAGUCCCAAAUAGGACGAGACACAGGUUCUGGAC
rnacentral:hammerhead_ribozyme from 1 species